rnacentral:rRNA from 1 species
AUUGAACGCUGGCGGCAGGCCUAACACAUGCAAGUCGAACGGUAACAGGAAGCAGCUUGCUGCUUUGCUGACGAGUGGCGGACGGGUGAGUAAUGUCUGGGAAACUGCCCGAUGGAGGGGGAUAACUACUGGAAACGGUAGCUAAUACCGCAUAACGUCGCAAGACCAAAGAGGGGGACCUUAGGGCCUCUUGCCAUCGGAUGUGCCCAGAUGGGAUUAGCUAGUAGGUGGGGUAACGGCUCACCUAGGCGACGAUCCCUAGCUGGUCUGAGAGGAUGACCAGCCACACUGGAACUGAGACACGGUCCAGACUCCUACGGGAGGCAGCAGUGGGGAAUAUUGCACAAUGGGCGCAAGCCUGAUGCAGCCAUGCCGCGUGUAUGAAGAAGGCCUUCGGGUUGCAAAGUACUUUCAGCGGGGAGGAAGGGAGUAAAGUUAAUACCUUUGCUCAUUGACGUUACCCGCAGAAGAAGCACCGGCUAACUCCAUG